AGUAUUGUACUUCAGAGCGGGAAGGGGUUCUGAGCCCCUGAUCAGAGGAGUGCUGAUGUUGAGGAGCAGGGUAGCUUUCUAGGGUAGGGAUGUGCAACUGUGGGAGAAUCACAUUGGGGGGACUUUGAGAGGCUGGCUGGGGCCACAUCUCCCAGUAAUCACACAAGACCAGAGGGGGAGAUUUGAUUUUGUUCUAAGUGCAAUGGGAAGCCACUGGAAGGUUGGAGGAGGGUUAUGACACAAUUUGAUUUAUGGCUUGGAAAGAUCCAGUUGGUUGAAUGGAAAGGAGAGGACAAGACUGGAAGCCAGGGAUACUGAAGCUGCUGCUGUCAUCAUCUUGGGAGAGAUAUGGGAAUGCAGAAAGAGGGGGUAAGUUCUGGAGGAGGGCAGGCAGGGAAGUACGGAAAAGGAGAAUUCAGGAUGGCUCCCGAUGCUGAAAGGCCACUGCCAUGGGCCCUGACUACCAUGCGGGGGAGGGUCGCUGCCCUCCUCCCAAACAAUGCCCAUUGUGACCUACACUGCACUCCCAUGUGCUCUUCAAGCCGCGCUCUAAUGCCAGUCUAUACCACAAGGGCAGGGAGACCUCUACGGGGGUGAGCACAUAAAUGAAUAUGUCCCCGUCCCAUUCCCCACAUCUCAAUGGCACUUCCACUGAGAGUCUGGGAGAAACCCAGCCAAGGGUUUUGAGAGCUACCUUAGCAACUAUGUGUAACUUGCUAUAGUCCCAACUAGUCCAGCCUCAUAUUCCCCAGUCCUGGGGCCAGCAACAGGAUGCUAGGUGUCCCAGUUGUGCCAAACCCCUGGCCUGAAGAUCUCAUACUUGCCCUGGAAGCCUAGACAGGUGGAAGAGAGUUCAUGUUAGGACUACAUCAAUGAGGAUUAAAAAUCUUCCCCUUUGACUUGGCAGAUCUGCUGGGAAUUUAUCCUAUAGACACGGCAGAACACCGUGCAACAGUUAAUGAGAAUGAAGAUGGUUGUAUGUGCCAACACGUAACAUUGACUUGGCAAUGCAGAGCCAAGGUGCAGAGCCACACACGGUAUCUUACACCUCCAUGUGUGCAACAGAGCUGACUGAGAAGAGAUUCCAGAGAUCUUGGCCUUACCUGGAGAAGGCCUGCAAACUUGACCACUCCCCAGCCAAGCCGGGACACA